AAAAUCACAUUUGGAGAUUGGUUUGGGCCCAAUUUCGCACUGUAGCACAUGCACAUGCAACAUUUAAGUGAAUUUCACUAAUUGGCAAAACACUUCAUUAAGCUAAUUUUCACUUACCAUUCCAUUAACCAAACUUAAGCUUCAUUAAACAGAGUAUAUAUUGCUCAUUUUCUGAUAGAAAACCCUAGCCACUAUUCACCAAACCAGAUCUAAAAAUUCAUUUUUCUCUCAAACUCUCAUUUCCUUACUUGAACUUUUUUUCUUCUGAAAAUC
rnacentral:lncRNA from 1 species